GAAGCACCAGCUUGCUGGUGUGGAUGAGUGGCGAACGGGUGAGUAAUACGUGAGUAACCUGCCCUUGACUCUGGGAUAAGCCCGGGAAACUGGGUCUAAUACUGGAUGCUACAUGUCACCGCAUGGUGGUGUGUGGAAAGGGUUUACUGGUCUUGGAUGGGCUCACGGCCUAUCAGCUUGUUGGUGAGGUAAUGGCUCACCAAGGCGACGACGGGUAGCCGGCCUGAGAGGGUGACCGGCCACACUGGGACUGAGACACGGCCCAGACUCCUACGGGAGGCAGCAGUGGGGAAUAUUGCACAAUGGGCGAAAGCCUGAUGCAGCGACGCCGCGUGAGGGAUGACGGCCUUCGGGUUGUAAACCUCUUUCAGCAGGGAAGAAGCCACAAGUGACGGUACCUGCAGAAGAAGCGCCGGCUAACUACGUGCCAGCAGCCGCGGUAAUACGUAGGGCGCAAGCGUUGUCCGGAAUUAUUGGGCGUAAAGAGCUCGUAGGCGGUUUGUCGCGUCUGCUGUGAAAGCCCGGGGCUUAACCCCGGGUGUGCAGUGGGUACGGGCAGACUAGAGUGCAGUAGGGGAGACUGGAAUUCCUGGUGUAGCG
rnacentral:rRNA from 1 species